rnacentral:rRNA from 1 species
UGGGGAAUUUUGGACAAUGGGGGCAACCCUGAUCCAGCCAUGCCGCGUGAGUGAAGAAGGCCUUCGGGUUGUAAAGCUCUUUCGGCUGGGAAGAAAUCGCAUCUCCUAAUACGGGGUGUGGAUGACGGUACCAGCAUAAGAAGCACCGGCUAACUACGUGCCAGCAGCCGCGGUAAUACGUAGGGUGCGAGCGUUAAUCGGAAUUACUGGGCGUAAAGCGUGCGCAGGCGGUUUCGUAAGACGGACGUGAAAUCCCCGGGCUCAACCUGGGAACUGCGUUUGUGACUGCGAGGCUAGGGUUUGGCAGAGGGGGGUGGAAUUCCACGUGUAGCAGUGAGAAGCGUAGAGAUGUGGAGGAACACCGAUGGCGAAGACAGCCCCCUGGGCCAAUACUGACGCUCAUGCACGAAAGCGUGGGGAGCAAACA